rnacentral:rRNA from 1 species
UACGGAGGGUGCAAGCGUUGUCCGGAAUCACUGGGCGUAAAGGGCGCGUAGGCGGCUCAUGAAGGCUGUGGUGAAAGUCCGGGGCUCAACCUCGGAUCGGCCGUGGCGACUCGUGGGCUGGAGCACUGUAGAGGCGGGUGGAAUUCCGGGUGUAGCGGUGGAAUGCGUAGAGAUCCGGAAGAACACCAGUGGCGAAGGCGGCCCGCUGGGCUAACACUGACGCUCAGGCACGAAAGCGUGGGGAGCAAACAGG